rnacentral:rRNA from 1 species
AUUGAACGCUGGCGGCAUGCUUUACACAUGCAAGUCGAACGGUAACAGGUUAAGCUGACGAGUGGCGAACGGGUGAGUAAUGCAUCGGAACGUGCCCGAUCGUGGGGGAUCACGCAGCGAAAGCUGCGCUAAUACCGCAUACGAUCUGAGGAUGAAAGCGGGGGACCGUAAGGCCUCGCGCGAUCGGAGCGGCCGGUGUCAGAUGAGGUAGUUGGUGGGGUAAAGGCCGACCAAGCCGACGAUCUGUAGCUGGUCUGAGAGGACGACCAGCCACACUGGGACUGAGACACGGCCCAGACUCCUACGGGAGGCAGCAGUGGGGAAUUUUGGACAAUGGGCGAAAGCCUGAUCCAGCAAUGCCGCGUGCAGGAAGAAGGCCUUCGGGUUGUAAACUGCUUUUGUACGGAGCGAAAAGGUCCUUUCUAAUACAAGGGGCUCAUGACGGUACCGUAAGAAUAAGCACCGGCUAACUACGUGCCAGCCGCCGCAGUAACAC